GGAGAUUUUCCCGGGAUUUCGUGGUUUUUGGAAUGUCGGAUCGGGGAUUGCUAAACCGUCGUGCCCUAACUGGGGCACCCCGGGUUCGAAUCCCGGCGUCUCCGCCA
rnacentral:tRNA from 1 species